UCCUUCACAGAGCGGAAUUUGACUGAGGAUGAGUUGCGGUGCUGAACUGUCUCACAGACUGUCGGAGGACAGCCCACGUUCCGAGUGAAGCAGCAUUUGUGACCGUUGGCAUUUGUGUGUGUAUGUGGGCAGCAUAAAAGGAGAGAGAGAAGCGGAGGCGAUCAAGAGACACCACCAGAAGAGAGG